GACGAACGCUGGCGGCGUGCUUAACACAUGCAAGUCGAGCGGAGCGGCUAACGGGUGAGUAACGCGUUAGUAACUGCCCCCCUCCCUGGGAUAACAGUUGGAAACGGCUGCUAAUACCGGAUAGUGGGGUAUGAGUCGCGUCCUAUCAGCAUGAUGUUGGGGUAGUGGCCUACCAAGGCGACGACGGGUAGCCGGCCUGAGAGGGCGACCGGCCACAUGGGGCUGAGGUACGGGCGGAACGCCUACGGUAGGCAGCAGUGAGGAAUAUUGCGCAAUGGGGGGAGCCCUGAUGCAGCAACGCGAGUGCGGGAUGACGGCCUUCGGGUUGUAAACCGCUUUCAGCCAUGACGCGGUAGUGGCAGAAGAAGCACCGGCUAACUACGUGCCAGCAGCCGCGGUAAUUC
rnacentral:rRNA from 1 species